UACGUAGGGUGCAAGCGUUGUCCGGAAUUAUUGGGCGUAAAGAGCUUGUAGGCGGUUUGUCGCGUCUGCUGUGAAAUUUCGGGGCUCAACCCCGAACUUGCAGUGGGUACGGGCAGACUAGAGUGUGGUAGGGGAGACUGGAAUUCCCGGUGUAGCGGUGAAAUGCGCAGAUAUCGGGAAGAACACCCGUGGCGAAGGCGGUUCUCUGGGACGGUACCGACGCUGAGACGCGAAAGCGUGGGGAGCGAACAGG
rnacentral:rRNA from 1 species